CAGCAGGAUCCAGGGGGGAGAGCCGAAUGCAACUGUUCCCAAAGACCGGGAGAGGAUUUUACGUGCCCAGAUGGAAGCUUCUGGAGCUCCUGCCCCGUCGGCCCAGUGUUCAGACUACCUGUUCAGGACAAUGCCGUUGUACAGUAGUCUGCACAUUGGUUAGACUGGGCAAGGCACAGCAACGCCCUGGACGGCUGGGGACAAGAGUGGCUGUUUCCGAGGAGAGGACGUUUGUUGGCUCCUCUUUCGAAUCUCAUAUCCAGUGUUUUUCUUCACAGGUUUUGCACAGUAGGGACCAAGGAGCCCUCGGGAACACCGCCGGGGAGAGACUGCUCUGGGGAAGACCUGCGGGUAAGGCCCUCUUGUCGCUCACCUGGGCUGUGUGACCCGGGAGAGCCGAGGUGGGAGCCAAUGAUUUGUGUCACAUGCGAGAAACAGGCACUCGUGUGGCCGAGAGCUAUUCGUUUACUGUAAAAGAGCAACGGGGUGCGGUUUAUAGUGAUUUAUUGUAAGUUACUUGCUUUCUGAGGAUUUAUAAGUAUUUUCUUAAGUUUAAAGAUUUUUUUCCACUCCAAAAUGAAAUACAAAAAGACUCCAAACACUAAAAAUAUUUGAAUGAGGCUAGUUUUCAAUGGUUGAAAGAGUCCUAAAAACUUGUUUGAAUGAGGGCUGUGCUAUAUAACUUGAACGUCCCAGGACUGGACCCAUUUUGCCCCAAAGUAAAGAAUACUUGCUAUUUUUUAAAUGCUCUAUGGAGAGUCCUUUUCUGAAAUUUUACUUACAUAAGAUAAGUACCAGGAAUAACAGGAUCUAACAAUAAAAGAAGAGGCUGCCAAGUUUUUUGCCCACCAGACCACACAGAUGGGACUUGCCCAGAAAAGAGCGCCAACCCAGAACUAUUGAGUCAGCAACUGAAUAAACCGGGAAAUAGAAACCUCUGUCUUCAGCUAUCCCAAUAUAUAGCUUGGGGGUUUUUGUUGUUGUUGUUGUUGUUCAAAUCCAAGAAUGGUUGAUAACUGCUGGUCAGCUGAGCCCUCGCGCCUAGGUUUUACAAUGCGUCUAUGUCUCGGAGCAUUUAAAAUGAUAAGGUACUUUGUCUAGAAAGCCACUGAUAAAAAAGGAAUUUGUAAACGAAGGCAAAGUUUUUGUUGGUCAGUUUCCAGCUGUCCUGGAGGUGAAGGGGGAGGGAAGGUGGGAGGGAGGAAAACCCUCAAGCUGAAUGAAAUCCCAACAGAGAAUAAUGCAGAAAGUCUGGGCUGCAAUAUGAUCCGCGCUGAACUUCAGAGGUGGGUCCCUUAAGGAAAGUUCUGGAAAAAUGGUACGGCCUCACCCCUAAUUCCCUCAACCCCCUAUUUAUAGUUACCCCCAAACAAUUCUAUAUAAUGAAAACAUCCGUUCUGUAGACUUUUGUGAAAAAUGAAUAUAAUCUCUUUUGCCCUCCCUUAAAUUCUCCGUGGUCCCUAGGCAAAUACUUUUCUAAGUUAUACAUUUUGCAACAAUUAAAAAAUUGUCACACGUCCUUUGAGAAACAGUUUAUUAUAAAAGGUUCCCCACGUCAUCUUUUGUCAAAAUGAUUUUUAUUUUAAAAAUUACCCUUUUGAUCAUCCUAAAACUGGUAUGAAAAGCCCCAUGUUUUCUCUCCUAUUCAUGGUUUUUAGUUAUAAUAUUAUAAAAAAGGAGAGGUUUGGCUGUCUCCUCCACUUAGAGGAUACGGUUUGUUUUCUAUUGUGACGUGGAGGCUUCCAUAUUAAUUACUUUUCAUUGAACAAGUGAGAUUUUUAAAAUCUUUCCAGCUUCUUUUACAUAGGAAAACUAAGGAGAGAAACUAUAAGAUACUUACCAGAGCUUAUUUUUUUCCAAGAAAUGUAUUUUUACUAACUUAUACAGCUAGUAAAGAAAGAAAGCCAUAAGGCACUUUGGUAACGUUUAAGAUGUCUCAAAUUUUGAGGGGGUUUUUGUUUUUGUUUUUUACUCUGUAGAAAUGAUUGAAUUUUAUAACUUACUUUCAUUUCAUGUGUAUUUAAUUUAAAUGUCUUUCUUUACAUUAAAUGGCUUUUUUUAUUUCAAAGAAACUAACCACCAUCGGCCCCUCACCUAUUUCCUCCCUCAGGAUGACUUUUAGUUUGGAGACAGAGGGGACCCAAGGGUGUCCUUGGCGUAAGUACAGGAGUAGAAACAUCAGAAAAACUUUGUGCGGGGGGAGCCGAGGAGCCCCUACACGUGCUUGGUGGAGUCCUGACAACCCAUUUUUCAUGCCGACUUUUCACAAAUGAAAAGGAACGGUACUUAUUUUUAACUGGCAUGGGCUCAGUGCAAGAUGAAAAAUAAAAGCUGGCUCUCUAAACCUCUGCCGCCUGAAGGCAGCAUGGCACAUACACUGCUGUAUGCACGGGGACACCCCGACUCGUAUGCACACACAGCUAGACUAACUUUAUUUCCAGGCUAGGGUAAUGCUUAACUUGAUUUUGAUAUGACUUUGUAAGGAGACAUACAAAUAUUUUAGGGAUCAUGGGAUCUAUUCCAGAGGAAACUAACCAACAGUGAUCAUCUUCGACUAAAACUGCUCAUGGAUAUGCGGGAAGUGUUGCAUCAUUCCUUAAUUGAGCAGAGUUAACUGGAUCAAAGUAUUUAUGGGAGAGAGAGGGAAAGCUAUACCGAAUUACAGUAAUUUUAAUUUCCACAAAUAUGCUCUUUGUAAGUGAAUCACUCUAUAAAUAUUCUCUGUUGCACUGAACACGGCAGCGAUAGCAAAAUAGUUGCUGAGGUAUUUGUUUUUGCAUACUCUGACCUCGUAAUUAUUUCAUAGCAGCCAAGUUCACUGAUGUUUUUGAGUCUGUCAAGAAAAAAAAACAAAAGUCCUCUACUCAGAAGGAAUGACCAGAAACAGUCAGACAUUUAUUUUCUUGAAAUUAAAUAAAUAAAUGGACACUUGCACUUCUCAACUCUUUCUUAAAACUGUAGCACAUCUAACCCCUGCAUGAAGGUUGAGCUGUGUACAAAAUUCAUUUUUUCAUAGUUUCUAAAAACUAUUUUGUUCUCCAUAAAGUUUCUAUUUGCUAUUUUUCUCAGAAUUUUACAAUGAAAGGGAAAUAUACUACUUGUUUUCUUUAUAAUUCUUGAGGGGGAAAAAUUCCUCAUUACACACUCCUUGGACAAUAAUGUUUUGGUUUAGUUUUUGAAGAAAUCCCACUUACUGAAAUUUUGACUGUCUGGAGAUUUUGUUUUUUAAAGGGCAGGGGAAUUUGUGAAAUCCCUCUACGGGUAUGAAUUGAUCAUUUAUAUUAAAAUAGACAGUAGAGUUAUUCUUGACUCACCAGAAUUAAAUUUCCUAUCUGUACGUUUAACACCAUCACUCUUUCUCAUAGGAGUUCUACAGAAAUCUUCCAAAGGGCCUGCUUUAUUUUUUGGAUAUGAAAUGAAGUUUCCUUUUUCUGUGUUUAGGGGACUAUUUUGUAACUGUCGUGCACUAAAAAGGUCCAAACCCAUUCUGAGCGAGCAUCUCUGUGGCCAGCAGCUGUUUAGUUUAUACCCCUCGGACUCAUGGCACAGCUCUGUGGUCAAUCAGGAAGAGGGCUUAAGCUCACAACUGCUUUUGACUUGGUUUUCACAUCCAUACUUAAAAACUGCAUUAACAAAGGACAUGAGAAAAUUUAAAUAAGCUCCCGUUGCUUAAUAAAGUAUUGGUAAAAAGACAAGCCCGUGUAGAAUCCCACUCUCAAAGCAUCAGAUGCAAGGUCAGCGGGUUGAACUGCCAAAUGCAUUAGGCUCGUUAAUUAUUUUGAAAAUGGCUGCCAUUUCCAUGUAAAUGAUAAGUUUCUUUUUCAUGGGCAAGGCUAUGGUACUUAUCUACUACAAGAAACAUGUAUAAACAUGCCUUUAUCUUUAACUUCAGUUUUAAAAUAUGCAGAGUUUGGGGGAAGAGGGAAAACAUCUGGUCCAAUUGCUCUGAACUCUGACUGCAUAUGGGCCAGUAAUAACAUGAACUGGAGUUAAGAAUAAACCUGGUGUUUAAUCUUUUUUCGUUUGUUUGUUUUUGCCUUAAAAUUUCAAUAUGAGUUUUCUGUCAAGUCAAUUAUCCAUGUUAGCACAUUUGGGAACAAAUGUACGAGUGUCCUUUCUGAAUAAAGUCAAAAGUCUAACUUGUUUUUAGUUCCAUAAUGUUUUAAUGUUUAAUUCUAUUGUGUGUUUUUCUCCCUUUCCCCUGACCCUCCAAAAAUCACCAAAUCUGGAAAACAGACUGUGUCUGCCCCUGAGCAAAGGAAACCCGAAGGAACCAAGGGCCUGGCUGGACGGAGUUGUCAUGUGUCUGCCUGUCUACACUUGCUGUGCAGAACAUCCGCUCACCUGUACAGCAGGCACAGACAGGCAGUCACAUGACAACCCAGCCUGAAUGACAACCAGCCGUUGAAAGCAAGCAGCCCUCACACCGUAGCACCUACACCAAGAGCUACAACCAAAAUGAGGGGCGGGGGGCCUGGGGUUUUCAUCUGUUGGCUUAAUACUUAACUCGUAUGUAUUAUUAUUAUUCUUUUAUUUUGAUUUAGAUAUUGAAACCCACCAGAGGUGAAGUGAGUGGUGCCUAUGAAAUAUAAUAAAACCCAUUUCUGAAAAUGCU